CUAUUCUCUCCAUAUGACCAACUUCACCUUUAAUGAUGUAGGUGUUUACAGUUGCCUGGUAGUGGAGAGACAGAGUUGUGUUUAAUCUGUCCAUACCGGUGAUUUUUAAGCCAAAGUAUAGUCAGCCCCCAGUGGAAGAGGAGGCUGUACUUCACAAUGGGACAGAGGAAUGGGCCCAGGAAAGCCCAGUUGGAGGACUCACCAAAGUAUCACCAUCUCAAACCCAAUCAGGGCCUGGGGAAAUCCUUACUGACCAAGAGAAGCAGGCGGACUAUCUUGUGACUAGAGCAUCGUCAUGAAAUUACACCCUGGUCAUCCCACCCCUGAUGCCCAAACACUCAGGGUAUUACUUGUGCAUAAAAGUGUCCCCACUAAAAAUCUUCAGAAUAUAUCAUCUGCCGGUGUGCCCCAAAUCUGAGCCCCUCAUAGAGUUCUUCUCAGAGGGAGGGGAGGUUGCUCUCAGAUGUAACUCUGAUGUCAAGGAGUAUGAUAGGUUAGUGUGGUACUGAAAGACUGCUACGGUGGACAACGCUUUUCUGAUAGGGAGGAGUGACAUACCUACAAAUAGAGAUGAUGAGUACAAACAAAUGCCUGAAGGUGUAGACGGCAGAUUGAAUGCAUCUCCCCCUUCCGUCUCUCUGGUCCUCUCUAACCUCUCACAGGAGGACAGUGGGGAGUACUGUUGUGCUGUCAUGUCUAAGACAGUCUGUUUAUCAAUAACUACAACCUUCUUGAUCAACGGGGAGAGGGGCCCCUUUGGCAUCGACUCCACGUUCUAUGCAGUUGACUCUUCACUGAUGGCCUGUGCUCUGCUGGAGAGUGUCUGUGCUGUAAUCACGGUGAACCUGAAGACCAGGAGAAGAGACCAGGCUACCCUGAAGGCCCGAAGGACUGCAACCAAGAUGCAGGGGCAGCAGAACAGCAGAGGGGAAGAGGAGAGUGAAGAAGAGAGGGAAGAGACAGGACAGUGAAGCGUAAAAGGUCCAAAUCAGUCGUGACAGAAUCCCGCACCUGAACACUUAUGGAGUCAGCAGGAGCAGAAGCGCCGUCCAUGGCUGAGCAGGUCUCCCAACAUGCCGGCCUCCUCCACCGCCUAGGCUCGGACAUGGAUCAGGUGUUGGCCCGGUUGGAGAGCUGGGAGAGAGGUGCCUCCCCAGCCGGACCAGCUCCAGUCCCUCACCCUGCGCCCCUACCCACACCCACUGAAGCGGGUGCCAGCGGGAUCCGGAUUUCACCUCCCAGGGAGUUCGAUGGGACGGCCGCUGGGUCCAAG
rnacentral:lncRNA from 1 species